GCACUGCUGAGGAGUCCCAUAAUAGGACGAAACGGUCUUCCAGUGC
rfam:Schistosoma mansoni, Puerto Rico, WGS project CABG01000000 data, contig: 0153